rnacentral:rRNA from 1 species
CAUGCAGCCGAGCGGUAGAGAUUCUUCGGAAUCUUGAGAGCGGCGUACGGGUGCGGAACACGUGUGCAACCUACCUUUAUCAGGGGGAUAGCCUUUCGAAAGGAAGAUUAAUACCCCAUAAUAUAUUGAAUGGCAUCAUUUAAUAUUGAAAACUCCGGUGGAUAGAGAUGGGCACGCGCAAGAUUAGAUAGUUGGUAGGGUAACGGCCUACCAAGUCAAUGAUCUUUAGGGGGCCUGAGAGGGUGAUCCCCCACACUGGUACUGAGACACGGACCAGACUCCUACGGGAGGCAGCAGUGAGGAAUAUUGGACAAUGGGUGAGAGCCUGAUCCAGCCAUCCCGCGUGAAGGACGACGGCCCUAUGGGUUGUAAACUUCUUUUGUAUAGGGAUAAACCUACUCUCGUGAGAGUAGCUGAAGGUACUAUACGAAUAAGCACCGGCUAACUCCGUGCCAGCAGCCGCGGUAAUACGGAGGGUGCAAGCGUUAUCCGGAUUUAUUGGGUUUAAAGGGUCCGUAGGCGGAUCUGUAAGUCAGUGGUGAAAUCUCAUAGCUUAACUAUGAAACUGCCAUUGAUACUGCAGGUCUUGAGUAAAGUAGAAGUGGCUGGAAUAAGUAGUGUAGCGGUGAAAUGCAUAGAUAUUACUUAGAACACCAAUUGCGAAGGCAGGUCACUAUGUUUUAACUGACGCUGAUGGACGAAAGCGUGGGGAGCGAACAGGAUUAGAUACCCUGGUAGUCCACGCCGUAAACGAUGCUAACUCGUUUUUGGGUCUUCGGAUUCAGAGACUAAGCGAAAGUGAUAAGUUAGCCACCUGGGGAGUACGUUCGCAAGAAUGAAACUCAAAGGAAUUGACGGGGGCCCGCACAAGCGGUGGAUUAUGUGGUUUAAUUCGAUGAUACGCGAGGAACCUUACCAAGGCUUAAAUGGGAAUUGACAGGUUUAGAAAUAGACUUUUCUUCGGACAAUUUUCAAGGUGCUGCAUGGUUGUCGUCAGCUCGUGCCGUGAGGUGUUAGGUUAAGUCCUGCAACGAGCGCAACCCCUGUCACUAGUUGCCAUCAUUCAGUUGGGGACUCUAGUGAGACUGCCUACGCAAGUAGAGAGGAAGGUGGGGAUGACGUCAAAUCAUCACGGCCCUUACGCCUUGGGCCACACACGUAAUACAAUGGCCAGUACAGAGGGCAGCUACCAGGCGACUGGAUGCGAAUCUCGAAAGCUGGUCUCAGUUCGGAUUGGAGUCUGCAACUCGACUCUAUGAAGCUGGAAUCGCUAGUAAUCGCAUAUCAGCCAUGAUGCGGUGAAUACGUUCCCGGGCCUUGUACACACCGCCCGUCAAGCCAUGGAAGUUUGGGGUACCGAAGUCGGGACC